AUGCCACUAGUGAAAGCCAGGGUGAUGGAUGAGCUCGGCCACUACGCCAUCCAACAAGCAGAGGAUAGAAUGCUAGCAGCCAGGGAGCCCACACACCUUCAGUUCAGGAGGGCAGGUGUUGGACCCAAGCCGCCCACACAGAGCCCCCCACAGAGCUGCAGCAGCCACAGAGACAGCACCCGAGGCCAGAGUGGGCCACUGUGGGUCAACGCUGUCCGCCCCAUGAGAACCAGGGGCAAACACUCCCCCCGGCGGGAGGGUCGGCCUGAAAGAGUGGAGCCCGAGGACCCACGGUCCCUACGGAACCCACCAGGAGAUGCCCCCGCGCCCAGAGUGGGGCCCACCCCCAUUCACAGCGGGAUGAAAGAGGUCACGCAUGAAUGCAUCAGCAUUAUGGAGCAUGUCUUCAACCAGAGCCUCAAGCUGAGGGUGGUACCACGGCUCUGGAAGACUUCCUGUGUGGUACCAGUGCCCAAGACAACGCACCCUAAAGACCUCAACAACUUCAGGCCGGUGGCUCUGACACCACACCUCAUGAAGACACUGGAGAGACUGGUUCUACAUCAACUGCGCUGCAUGGUGAGCUCAGCAAUGGAUCUGCUGCAGUUUGCCUACCAGUCUGGCAUCGGAGUAAAGGACGCCAUCAUCUUCCUGCUCCAUCGUUCCCUGGCCCACCUUGGGAAGCCUGACAGCACUGUGAGGAUUCUGUUCUUCGACUUCUCCAGUGCCUUUAAUACCAUACAGCCGGCUCUCUUAAGGGACAAAUUGGAGUCAGCUGGCGUGGACAGUUACCUGACAGUGGAUACUGGACCACCUCACAAACCGUCCCAAGUUUGUGAGGGUCUGGGACUGCGUGUCGGACACUCUGACCUGCAGUGUGGGAGCCCCACAGGGGACUGUCCCGGCCCCCUUCGUCUUCACCCUCUACACUGCAGACUUCAGACACAACUCAUCUGGCUGUGUUCUGCAGAAGUUCUCUGACGACUCUGCAAUUGUUGGACUUAUUACUGACGAUGAUGACGCAGAGUACAGAGAACUGACACUGUGGUGGCGUCAGCCAUCCUGUACAGUGUGGUCUGCUGGAGCAGCAGCAUCACAGAGAGGGAGAGGAAGAAGCUGGAUCAGGUCAUUAAGAAGUCCAGCUCUGUCCUGGGCUGCACUCUGGAGUCAGUGAGGGAGGUGGGAGACAGAAGAGUUCUGGCAAAAUUCACAUCCAUGCUGGACCACGAGUCCCACCCACUGCAGGACACACUGUCUGCCCUGGAGAGCAGACUCAGUGACAGACUGAUUCACCCUCGCUGUGGGAAGGAGAGAUUCUGCAGGUCUUUCCUUCCUGCUUCUGUCAAACUUUAUAACAAACAAUUAUAACAUGGUGCACAUUUCUACCACACUGGCCCACACACGCUACAUCUCUAGGGCAAUUGCACCAGUCACUUUAAUAUCUUACUCACUUUGUUUGGUGCAGUCACCUUAUUUCAUUGUGUGCAUAAUGUUGAUAACCUGUGGAGUUCCAAGUUCUAAUUUCUUAUAAUUAUUGUGUUAUUAUUAUUAUUAUUAUGCUAUUUCCUCUGUAUUUAUGUCUAUAUGUCUUUGUGAUGUUGCAACAUGGUAAUUUCCUCAUUGCGGGACAAUGAAGGUAUUCUAUUCUAUGAGUAGACUGCAAAAUAAAAAACACAUCAGCGGAACCA
ensembl:lncRNA